rnacentral:rRNA from 1 species
CAGUCGCCGCGGGAAUACGAAGGGUGCAAGCGUUACUCGGAAUUACUGGGCGUAAAGCGUGCGUAGGUGGUGGUUUAAGUCCGUUGUGAAAGCCCUGGGCUCAACCUGGGAAUUGCAGUGGAUACUGGGUCACUAGAGUGUGGUAGGGGAUAGUGGAAUUUCCGGUGUAGCAGUGAAAUGCGUAGAGAUCGGAAGGAACAUCUGUGGCGAAGGCGACUAUCUGGGCCAACACUGACACUGAGGCACGAAAGCGUGGGGAGCAAACAGGAUUAGAUACCCCGGUAGUCCCUGUCUCUUAUAC